rnacentral:lncRNA from 1 species
ACCAACUGCGCCCUGGCUAUCUUCUUCUUCCUCACGAAAGAAGGAUCUGCCCAGGUUGCAGAAUCCUUCAUCGCUAGGAGAGAAGGACAACAUGGCGGCUCCCAGGAACAAAUAAGAGAAGAGAAGAGGCUUAGAGAUCACAAAAAAGACAAUAAAAAAAGUAGAUCAAAGACCAGGCAGGAUCUUCUUCUUCCUCACGAAAGAAGGAUCUGCCCAGUUUGCAGGACCUUCAUCGCCAGAACAAAAGAACAAGAGAAGAGAAGAGGGCUUAGAAAUCAAAGAGAAGACCAGAAAAAGCCAGAUCAGAAGAGAGGAGGGACGAAAAAGAAAACCUACCUUUAGGAUCCAGAGGUGAGAAGACUUGCCCAUCUUCUUCGAGAUUCUCUUUUGUAUAUCUUGCUCCUUGUAGUGAUUUCCUUGCACACAUCUUUGACUUGUAUAUUUGGUUGUCAAAAAUCAAAUGAAUCGUGCAUAGUGCGUUUGAGGAAAAAUGUGCAACCAGUAGGUUGCUUUCGUGCAACUAAGCCAAAUAAGAUAGCCAACUGAAUGAGUGUUGUGUGCCAACUCAACAGAUUAUGCAACUCUAAACCUUUUCUUGUGCAACUAACCCAGUUGUAGCAUCCAACUAUGAGGAGGCACUGUGCAACUGGAAAUAUAAAAGUGCCAGAACUGUGCAACUUUGGCAAGAACUCAUGUAUUUGGUUGUCAAAAAUCAAAUGAAUCUUGCAUAGUGUGUUUGCGGAAAAACUGUUCAACCAGUAGAUUGCUUUCGUGCAACUAAGCCAAAUAAGAUAGUCAACUGAAUGAGUGUUGUGUGCCAACUCAAUAGAUUAUACAACACUAAACCUAUUUUGUGCAACUAACCCCAUUCUAGCAUCCAACUAUAAGCAGGAACUGUGAAACUGGAAAUAUAAAAUGGGUCAAAACUGUGCAACCUUGGCAGGAACUUGAAAAAUCUGGAAGAAGACAAACAAUAUACAAUGACGAGCGAUAUACGAUAUGUUCUAAUAAAAAACAAUCUGCAAAUAUAGUUCUUAGAAAAUAGGUUCACACACUGCCAUCACAAAUUUGAAACACACUGCCAUCAAACCGUUGAUCUAAAUGUGCAAAACUAACUAAAAUAGCUAUAGACAAUUAUAGUUGAAAUCUGAUUUUGCUUCUAUCUUUGAAGUUGCUGUAGCAGACCUUGCUUGAUAUGUUCACUUGCAUUGAUCUGCAGAAAAUCAUGCCCUUCUUUUCAUGUAGCUACUGUCUGAAUCAUAGACCUGCACGUUGUAGAUAGAAAAAAUGUUCAAUAAAUUGUAGGUACUGUAUAAAUUGUAGGAUGCCAACACAGUAUUAUGUUCUCUGUGCAACUAGAAAUGCUAAGGAUGCCAACUAAAUACAUACUCUUGUGCAACUAGAGAAAGUCUUGAGUAUGUCAACUAGUUAGAAAAGUAUUGUGCAACUAGAAAUGCUAAGGAUGCCAACUAAAUACAUACUCUUGUGCAACUAGAAAAAGUCCUGAGUAUGUCAACUAGUUAGAAAAGUAUUGUGUAACUAGAAUUGCUGAGGAUGCCAACUAAUUGGAUAGUACUGUGCAAGUAUAAAGUCUGAGGGUGCCAAAGAUACUCUUUGGCAACCCUCAAUUUUUUUGGAGAUGGGACUAAAUUAUAUACUGUUGUGUAACUAGAAAAACUGAGGAUGUCAACUAGUUGUAUAUUGUUCCUUGAAACUAGAAAUGCUGAAGAUGCCAACUAAAUGGAUACUCUUGUGCAACAAGAAAUCUUGAGGAUACCAAGUCAGAAAAAUAGUUAUUCAACACUUGCAUGACGAGAGAAAAAAAAUCAUCACACCGUCACCAAACCAAAAACCGAGUUUAUAAAAAUGACGCUGAUGCUGUUGAAAAUACUAGCUGCAUUGAGUUCUCCAGAAAAAGUACUAAUCUCAACUGUAUGAUGGCCCAGACUAGAAAGAUGGACUAGGUGUACUGUUUGUGCAAAAAGAAGCACAUAUUUGUGUAACUAAAAUAUUGGUCCAAAACCAACUUUCCUGCAGCAUGUGUGCAAAAAAAAAUCUCAGACUAGAAAGAUGGACUGGGUGUACUGUUUCUGCAAAAAGAAGAACAUAUUUAUGCAACUAAGCAUGGGUCCAAGCCAACCUUUUUAUGCAAAUGUGUGCAACAAAACAGCCCAGACUGGAGUCCAUUUGUUCUAGUCUUUUGGUUGUUGGUUGCACACAUUGCAGGAAAAGAUGGUUUUGGAUCCAUGUUUAGUUGGCACAAAUAUGGGCUUCUAUUUGCAGACACUACAUUCAGUCUACCUUUUCCUGCAAAAAAUGUGUUCAACCAACACACGGACUAUAUGAAAUAGAAAACCUAAAGUCUAAAAAGUGGCCGGCCACUAAUUGACCGAAACGGGCGGCCGGCCCGUGGCCGUUCGAUCGCGCGAGCGAUCGCUCCCAGAUCCGCCAGGUGACGAGCCGACCACUACCAACCACCACUUCACUUCUCUCCCAUACAAAAAGACUGAAUUUGUUGUUUGUGCAAAUAUAAACAUAUAAUUGUGCAGCUAAACUUGUAUCCAAAGCCAACUUUUGCUGCAAAUUUGUGCAGCAAAGAAGAUGAAAUUCUAUUUCCUGUAUUAAAAGUACUAAAAACGAGACUAGAAAAAGCACAAGAACAGUAUUAAAAACGAGCAUACAAGUAGUCUUGUCUCACACAAAUUGCAAUAGGGGGAAUAUGUUCUAUAGGAUGUAUUAUAUACUAAAAAUGGAACAGAAAAGAAGAUGAAAUUCUAUUUCCUGUCAUCAGAAAACGGUGUCAAAAGUGAUCACAUUCCGACGUGAUCACCUAAGGUUUUGCAAACAAAAGGUGCCGAAGGUGAUUAGUUAACACUGCAUACAAAAUAUUUGUUCUUCUUCAGAAAAAACUGGAUAAAAAAGGUUGAUGAUGCCAACUUGAUAUUAUGUUAGUUAUGCAACUACAAAAUGCAGAGGAUGCCAACUAAAAGUAGUUACUCUUGUGCAACUAGAAAGGCUAAGGAUGUCAACUAGUUAGGUGUUAUUGUGUAACUAGAAAAUGCUCAAGAUGCCAACUAAUUAAAUACUCCUGUGCACCUAAUUAAAUACUCCUAUGCAACUAGAAAGGCUGAGGGUGCCAAGUCAUUUGAUACUCUUGGGCAACCCUCAAAAAUUUGAAGAUGGGACUAAAAAAUAGCUACUCUUGUGGCUGAGGAUGUCAAUUAAUUGGAUACAGUUUGUGCAAGUAGAAAUGAUGAGUAUGCCAACUAAUUGAAUACUCCUGUGCAACUAUAAAUCUUCAAAUAAGCAGGCCUAUUAAUCUCCUUCCCAACUGUAGAUCAAAUAAGCAGGCCUACUGCAUCAAAGCUACUCCAAAUCAGUGCAAAUCCACACUAGUGUAAUUCAAGUUUACUGCAAAUCUGCACACUGGAGUAAUUCAGAUUUACUGCAACUACUCUAAAUCACCGCAAAUCAGUGCUAUUGCUACUGCUACCUCCAGAUCAGUGCAAGGGGCUGAACUGAAUGUACUCCAUGCUUUAAUCCAUGAAAGAAAGGGGUUGAAUUGAACCAGAGGAGGAAGAGUACCUUUGGCGGCGGCGCCGUCGCCAUGGAUAUGACCGCCGACUCCGCGGCUCAGGCGCCGCUCCACAUCAAGCGUCGUUGCGUCGGCGGGGUAGCUUCAAUACUUGAGAUGCGGCUCCAGAUCCUCCCGUUCGGGCUCCACCUCCUCCCGCCGUCGUCUUCACGCCCGCGCCAGCGCUGCUCGGGCUCCGCUUCAGCGACUCCUCACGCCUAUCCACAAGCAGGUCGAGGACCAGCGCAUGUGGAUCCAGCUCCUCCUCGCCCAGCAGCGCAUCACCGGCGAAUAAAAAUGGCAGCUUUGUGUGAACCAGGGUGGUGGAGAGCGGUGAGCAGCGGUGCGGAGCAAGAUGCCGGCGAGAGGGAGAGAGAGGGCGCAUCAACGGGGAGAGAGCGGCGUCGCGCGCGCGAGAGAGAGGCGACUGGUGGCCGGCGUCGCGCAAGAGAGAGAGAGAGGCGAGCGGGGGCGUCGUGCGAGAGAGAGAGAGAGAUCGGGGGCGAGUGGGAAGCGAGUGGUCGGUGGCGUCGGGCGAGGAAGAGGGGAACGUGUCGGCGGAGGGGUAGAAUGGGAAACUCGGGGAAAACCGUAGCCUACGAAAGUUGGACGCGUGCGGCGAUUCAGGGCGGGAUCGAGCGGCCAGGAGCCGGCCGCUCGUUCCGUCUAAAUGGUGCGCGUGCACUUUUUAGAUUUUAGGUAAAAAUAUUCCAGAGAUGCUAAUCACACACUACAACUGCAACUUACGAUUAAAAGUAUGGACGUGUUGUAUACGAGUACAAGCCUAGGGAAAAAAGGGGGUUUAAAAGAGAGUAUGUAGCUAGACUGCACUAGUAAACCGUGUAUUGAACCCUAUAAUGUAAGUGUUUAUUUUACUGCCCAAUGCUCUGUCAAUUUAAAUUAACAGAAAAUAAAGAGGUCAUUUUUCUUGACAGAGCCACAUCAUAAUUAUGUGUUCGUCGAGUAUUUUUAAGCUCCUUUUCCCUUUUGGUUUUGUGUUUGUUGUACAUACACAUCUCUUUUUCUUUUGCGGAUUAUUGUAUGUUAACUAAAUAGCUACCCGAAUUACAUCUAAAUGUGACGUAAGAACUUUUAAAAUAGAGCCAUAUGUGCAGAUAAUAGAUGGUUUCCUCUUGUACACACCUGAUACUUACGUGUCACCAGUCUGUAAUGUAACUAUUUGUUUAUUUCAUUUUAGUAGAAAGAAAAAUGCAUAAUAUGUCGUGUAGCCAUUGCAGGAAAUUCGUAAAAGUAUUUUCUAUGUCAUAGGCAAGUCUAAGUGGACAAUCUUGCUUCUCCCCCUGAAAGCCACUAUCUAUGCUUUUCAGUGCAUGACACAUCUCCUGGUCCUACUUCGACAACAAGAGGUAGUACAAUUUGC